CUCCGUGGGCGUAGGACCCUCCGAGCCAGGUGCAGGAUACAGUCUCGUGGUGCGCCGUUUUUUAAGCCGGUCGGAAAAGCGCAGUAUUCGGGUGGGAGUGAACCGAUUUUCCAGUGAGAUGAACCCAGUACCUCAGAUUGAAAUGCAGAAAUCACCCGUCUUCUGCGUCGCUCACGCUGGGAGCUGUAGACCGGAGCUGUUCCUAUUCGGCCAUCUUGGCUCCUCCCUCAGUUCUGGAGACUGGGACAUCCAAGGUCAAUGUGCUGGCAGAUUCAAUGUCUGGAGUGAAAUACAUCACCACUUUCCCUGCUCCCGCCGCCAUUAAAAUUGUGUUUGGCAUCUGACCACCAAGAUACAGAUAUUUCCUAGACUGUUUUGCAGCUAGGUACUUAGAUAGUAAUGAAGAUAGGGGCCACCAUUCCCUGUGAAAAUCAAGUGGGAAAGUCCUGAGUCCUUUAAUGACUUUACAGAGGACAGAAUAAACUCCUAUCAUAUUCAUGC
rnacentral:lncRNA from 1 species